rnacentral:misc_RNA from 1 species
CUACUGCAUUAAAUAGAACACCAAACAAAGAAUUGAUACUGAAACAACUGCUUCAAGCGAAUUUUGUUAGCUUACUUUCAUUUCGUCAGUUUCACUACAACCGCUGAUGAUGGCGCAUCGUUUUCGUUCAAUGGCACUCCAAGCUCUGCAUUCAAUCCACACAUGCUGCUCGUCGCGGGCACUCCUUUGUUUGGCCAGUAGCUUUGUUGGAGCAACGUUUGCCUUUUGUUAUCUACUGCCUGCAUAUUGGGACUACCAUCAGUUUUCCUCUCAUCUCUCACAGGUAGCAGAUGUGUCUGGCACGGUGACAACAUGUCCGUGUCAAACUGAUCGUAAGAUCAUCAUUCUCUACUGGACAAAAUAUUUUCGGUCGACGGAUUUUGGCUUCGGCAUGGGACUGACACCCUUCCACGAGUGUCACACGAAUCAAACCAGUAACAGAAGAGGAUGUUUAACGACAACGGAUCGAAGUUUCGUGAAUGAUAGCGACGCCAUCCUCUUUCACGCACGUGACAUUAACAUCAACGAUUUGCCUCCGGCCGGAUGGAGGCGACCGCAUCAAAAUUACGUCUUUCUCCUUUACGAGUCGCCAGUCAACACGAAUCUAAACAUGUUGCGACAACCUUUAUUCCGCAAUUAUUUCAAUAGAACAAUGACUUAUCGUCGCGAUUCGGACGUCGUCGAUUUGCAUCCGUACGGCCACAUGCAGUGCAUCGACGCUGCUUCACCAUCGUGUUCCAAAUUGCCACAAACUGCUGAUGCAAAGAAGCCAAACAUCGUCCAAGAGAACGACGAUUCCACGUCGGUUCCCGUCAAAAUAGACUUGACAUUGAAAAAUUGGACUGUCGCCUGGUUCGUGUCGAAUUGCGAGACAAACAGUCGGCGUGAAUUGCUGGCCCGUAACCUGUCGCACUUCAUUCCAGUCGAUAUUUUCGGCCAUUGUGCAAACGCAAACAACAUCACCUGCUCCGAUCGGGCUGCAUGCGACGAGAAACUGAGUCGUCAUUAUCGUUUCUACCUCAGUUUUGAGAACUCUUUGUGUUUAGAUUACGUCACUGAGAAACUCUACCGACCUUUGCAACACAAUGCAGUCCCAGUCGUUUACGGAGGUGCUGACUAUUCUUUGUAUCUUCCGGCUGGAUCGUACGUGAACGCCAUGGAUUUCGGCAGUCCUGAGCGCCUUGCCGAUCACUUGAACAAACUGAUGGGAGACGACGAGCUGUACCUGACGUACUUUCGCUGGAAGUCUAAAUACGCAGUCGAAAGAAGAGCGAAAGACGCAAUGUGCCAACUGUGUCAAUUACUUGGUGAUUCCAAAACGAAAGAAAAGAGUUAUGCAGAUAUUGCUGAGUGGUGGGCAGGUAACAAGACUACCAAUCCAAUUUGCCGGUCGCCACCUGCAACACUUGUUUAGUUGAACAAUCAGCGCAAAGGGUUUGCAACCUAAGGAAAUGCCCCACCUUUCUUUUUCGUUCCACAGUUGGGCCACCAGCGAGAUUGCCCUCGCCGUAGGAUACGGAGGUAGUAUACAAGAGAAUCAGAUAAAAUUGCAACGCCGUCGGCAAAACAGAGAAUCCUUCUUUUUUCUACGUUCUCCAAAAAUAACCCGUCAUGUUUUGAAUGAAAAUCUCAUUAUAAAAGCCAAGCGUUGCCUGAAGGUGACCCAAUCAUUCUUACGAAUUUGUUUUGUGAGCAUAUUAAUUAGCAGUUUUGUCAGCGAACGCAACUCUUGUUGAUAUUUUCUUCAAUGAUAAUAAAGGAGAUGAAAUACUA